UUCAAUGCGUCUAAUUAAUCCCUUGAGAAAACAAAACGCAUAGAACAGAACCGUUUCAAAUUCUCGGAAAUCAAUGGGAUUAUGUUGUCUUCUUUGAAAUCAAAUGGAAUCUUUUUUGAACCUCAUCAACUUACCCACAUACGUUUCUUCUUAUGAGCUCACGGAACUUAUAAAUUCACAUGCAUCUAGAAAUCUGUCCAACAGAUCGAAGAAGAACACGUAUGAGGUAUUUCAAAUCAGGGUUCUUAUUUCUCUUCCUUAAUGUUGGGUUUUUAUUUUUUCGCUAUCAAAAGAUUUUUGUUGGUGCACGACAUAUUCCGAGACAAAGCAACAUCCAUCCUAGGGUGAUGAGUUGCAAGGGGAUGUACCAAAGAACCUAAUCUGGAAAUUGGCCUUGCUUCGGGUUGGUGACGUGUAUUUAAUAGAGCAGAAAAGUAGGAAACCCUUUGAAACGGACUAUCAAGAUAAUGAAUUCUAAUAAUCCACCAAAGACAUUUGAAGAAAUGGAGGUUUUGUCAUUUGCGUAGACAAAACCAACAGCUGCAAAAUAUUGAAGAAACAGGAAAUAGAAGGAAAAUCACGACAUAACCAACAGCUGUACUUGAGCAUUUAUUUAGCUUACCAGGUACUCAAUUGAAUUAUUGUCAAGACAGUGCAAGUUGGAUGUUAGGAUUCCAUUGUUUGGUACUAUUUGGCUGCAACAAGUGCACGAAUAAAGUGGUUGGUGCGAUAUAAUUUCCCUCAUUUUUGUGUUACAGGCCAGCAUCCAUCUCAAGGUUACAGCUUUUCGAAAUGCAAUUUAUGAAUUGGAGUAGGUUUAUAGCUGAGUCUAACUAUUAUAUCCGGGUACGUCGUUUAUCAAGUCAAGAAAUAGUAAAUAAUGGAAGAGCACCACACAAGCAGAACCAGAUUUCUUCAUGGGAGCAUAUUUGCCUUUUUAAUUGAGAUAAAAAAGGGUCUGUAACGAGUUCUAUUUUUCUUUUCAACACAUUGAACCAGAUAUAUGAGUCAAUGCAAUCCAUCUCUGUUUUGCAAACCCCUUUUUCUUGGUGUUUUGUAUUCAUUGAACUGAUCAAUGGAAGUAUUGAAUUAAUUAGUGUUGUAGUAA